rnacentral:lncRNA from 1 species
ACUUUCUGAAUAUCAUCUCUUGUAAUUUAUGUGGGCUGGGGGUCUAGAUGAAGGUGGAGUGCAGUUUAAAUAUUGAAGUAGCAUCCUCCAUACACCCCCCUUUUGGGCUGAUUGUUACCACCCAGUAUAAAGGGAUAAUUCUGGUGCUAACUGUUCUUGAUGAUUAUUGGAAAAGGAAGGAAUUGCUUACUCUCUGGCUGAGUUGUGGCUCUCGCUCCAGCAUCUGUGUGGAAGCAUGCCUGGUUUUUCCAUCUCUCAGCACUGGUCCUUGGGGCCUUUGAACAGCGAUGUAAUGUUUUAUGGCUGGGCCAUUCUAUGAACACUUGCCACAGGAGGCUAUUGGGCAACUGACUAUGGAGAAACUGGACUUUCAAUUUUAUUAAAUAUUCAUUAAGUUAUAUUAAAUGGACACAAAGAGUAGUGGCUACAAUAUGAGACAACACAGCUAGAUAUCUGUAUAUGUUCUUAACUCUGACUUACUUCAUUCUUCCAGAAAGAGGUCUGCAUGACCUGUGGAGGCAGUCACAGCCAGCUCCUUGUACACAGGCUCACUUUGGCUCUCCUUGUAUCUUGUGCAAAUUCUAACUGCUUCAUCUCCAUGUCCAGAUCAGCAGUGGAGGUUCUUGAGAAAAGUCAUGGCUUCAGCUACUGGCACCAACAAGGUGAAAGAGAUCGCCACCUGCUCCAUCUGCCUGAACCUCAUUAUGCACCCAGCUACUGGGAACUCUCACUGAAGUUAUACAGGAAAUGGAGGAGACAGAGGAUGAGCUGCUGUGAGGCCCAUGGACAGCAGCUCCAGCUCUUCUGUAAAGAUGACAACCAGCUCAUCAGCUGGCACUGUGAGCGGGGACCACAGCACCAAGGCAUGCCCUGGUGCUGGUAGAGGAUGUGUGCCAGGGGUACAAGGUGAGUAUACAUCCGGGCCUCAGCAGGGACCCACCCUGUGCUGCUUGCAAGACCUGAGCUUAUUGGUCCCAAAGCUAAAAAUGAUGACC